GACGAACGCUGGCGGCGUGCUUAACACAUGCAAGUCGAACGGUGAAGGGACCAGCUUGCUGGUUCUGGAUGAGUGGCGAACGGGUGAGUAACACGUGAGUAACCUGCCCCCUUCUUCUGGAUAACCGCAUGAAAGUGUGGCUAAUACGGGAUAUUCUGGGUCUGUCGCAUGGCGGGCCCGGGAAAGAUAUUGCUUCGGUGGGGGAUGGGCUCGCGGCCUAUCAGCUUGUUGGUGGGGUGAUGGCCUACCAAGGCGGUGACGGGUAGCCGGCCUGAGAGGGUGGACGGUCACACUGGGAUUGAGACACGGCCCAGACUCCUACGGGAGGCAGCAGUGGGGAAUAUUGCACAAUGGGCGCAAGCCUGAUGCAGCGACGCCGCGUGAGGGAUGGAGGCCUUCGGGUUGUAAACCUCUUUCGCCAGUGAAGCAGGCCUGCUCCUUGUGGGUGGGUUGACGGUAGCUGGAUAAGAAGCGCCGGCUAACUACGUG
rnacentral:rRNA from 1 species